rnacentral:rRNA from 1 species
GUAUGGUGCAAGCGUUAUCCGGAUUUACUGGGUGUAAAGGGAGCGUAGACGGCUGUGUAAGUCUGAAGUGAAAGCCCGGGGCUCAACCCCGGGACUGCUUUGGAAACUAUGCAGCUAGAGUGUCGGAGAGGUAAGUGGAAUUCCCAGUGUAGCGGUGAAAUGCGUAGAUAUUGGGAGGAACACCAGUGGCGAAGGCGGCUUACUGGACGAUGACUGACGUUGAGGCUCGAAAGCGUGGGGAGCAAACAGGAUUAGAUACCCUGGUAGUCCACGCCGUAAACGAUGACUACUAGGUGUCGGGGAGCAAAGCUCUUCGGUGCCGCAGCAAACGCAAUAAGUAGUCCACCUGGGGAGUACGUUCGCAAGAAUGAAACUCAA